GAUUAUACUCGACUGAGGAUUGCUGGGAUAGCAGCUGGUAUCACUUCCUGCAUACUUGUUCUUAUAUUAGUUAUGUGUGUCAUUUUUGUAUAUGUCAAAUAUCGAGAUCGUAUUCCCUUGAUGGCCAUAAACUCACAGGAUUAAUGUCGGUUCAAUGAGAGAAGAUUGAGAAAAGCGAAACGUGACCAGAACGCGCAAAAUUAAGGCCAUAAGUAACCAUGUUGACCACAAAGCUAGAUGACCAAUUACAUAAAAAGGAAAAAGCCCUGAAUUGUCCGUUGACCACUCAUCCAAGACAAGUUGCCAGAAAAUGACCAUAAAGAUCCAGUGAAUUCUAGCAUGAAAGGGAGACAUAUAUACACUGACCAAUCACAUGACUGACCCCCAGAGAGGAUAUCCAAUCACAACCAAACUAACACUAACAUGUGAUAACAACAACAACAACAUCAUCAUCAUCAUCAAAAAUAGCAACAGCUAUAAAACCAUGGUGGACAGAGACAAUAGGCACGACUAAAAACCACAAGAAUUAUUAUUAUUAUUAUCAUUAACAAUGGUGGUGGGUUGGCAGUAUUGUUAGGGCACUGGGCAAAAUGCCUUACACUAUUUCUUCCGAUUAUUCACAUCCUGAGUUCAAAUCCUGCUGAGGGCAACUUUGACUUUCAUUCCUCUGGGUGGGCGGCAGAAGUGUCCGAUAAAAUUAGAGUACCAGUCAAGUACUGGCAGUCAGUGGUAUCAACACUAACUCCGUCCUCCCCCUCACAAUUACUGGCUUCAUGCAGAAAACAAAUAAGGUUUAAUUAUUAUUAUUAUUAUUAUUAAUAUUAUUAAUAUUAUUAAUAUGGUGGUGGCGGUGAGCUGC
rnacentral:lncRNA from 1 species